GACGGUUCAAGCGGAGAGAGAGAGAGAGGGACCGAGGUGGUGGUGAGCGGCGACAACAUUCAACACGGGUCGGGCCUGCUCCGAUGUAGAUGAUGUCGCUGAUGAUGUUGACGACAAUCGCCAUCCAGCGACGACUCCGGCUGCUGAAAUCCAAGUCAGUUCGGUGACGAAGAUGAUGACCGAUAGUGAUGAUGGUGUGAACAUCAGUUGAUGAUGAUGUUCGAGUUUUCAAGUUUGGUUGGAAUCAAGUUCGGGUUCAGGCACAGUCAACUGACUCAACAGGUUCGGGUUUGCUCCGGUUUGAGGUGUAAGAACACAAGUGAGUUUUGGCUUCGGUUCAAAGUGGAUUAUGAUUCGGUUCGCGUUUUAUUUCAGAUUCGGUUCAAGUCAGCUAUCGGCCAACCUUAACUUCUGUUCAAGACUCGGUCACACCGAGUCGACUCGGUCAAACUCGAGUCAACUCGGGUAAACUCAGUCGGUUCCGGGUCAAAGCAGUCAAAGUCAGUCAGGCUACGGGUCAACAGGUCAACGGCUUGGUCAAAGUCAGAUUCGGGUUCUGUCAACAUUCAGUCAACGCCCGGUCAACUCACAAGACCCGGUAAAGUGAUAAGAGUAGCGGGUUAUUCUUCUUAAAAGUAUAUAGAUUUUUUUUAGACUACGCGAAACCGAGCUCGACCCGUUUCAACUAGAUAUUAGUUACGUUUUUUUUAUAAAGUUGAUAAAAUCUAUAUUUAGUUGAUUA